rnacentral:misc_RNA from 1 species
GAUGAAGAACGUAGCGAAAUGCGAUAAGUAAUGUGAAUUGCAGAAUUCAGUGAAUCAUCGAAUCUUUGAACGCACCUUGCGCUCCUUGGUAUUCCGAGGAGCAUGCCUGUUUGAGUGUCAUUAAUAUAUCAACCUCUUCAGCUUAUGCUUGUUGAGUGUUGGAUGGUGGGGGUUUGCUGGUGUCUUAUGAAGUCAGCUCCUCUGAAAUGCAUUAGCGGAACAAUUUGUUGACCGUUCAUUGGUGUGAUAAAAAUAUCUACGCUAUUGACGUCAGUCAGUUCAGCUUCUAACAGUCCAUUGACUUGGACAAAUUUCUCAUUAAUGUGACCUCAAAUCAGGUAGGACUACCCGCUGAACUUAAGCAUAUCAAUAAGCGGAGGA